UACGUAGGGUGCGAGCGUUGUCCGGAAUUAUUGGGCGUAAAGAGCUUGUAGGCGGUCUGUCGCGUCUGCUGUGAAAAUCCGGGGCUCAACCCCGGACUUGCAGUGGGUACGGGCAGACUAGAGUGUGGUAGGGGAGACUGGAAUUCCUGGUGCAGCGGUGAAAUGCGCAGAUAUCAGGAGGAACACCGAUGGCGAAGGCAGGUCUCUGGGCCACUACUGACGCUGAGAAGCGAAAGCAUGGGGAGCGAACAGG
rnacentral:rRNA from 1 species